UUAACCCAGGUGUCUUGGUGCUGGAGAACAGAACUGGCCAGAGUCCAUCCUGUCUCCCACCGGCAUCCCAUUACGAAAUGAACACAGAAAAGGCAGGUCUGCAAUGCCAACAUCUAGUAUCUAUCCCAAAGACCAGGGAGAAAGGAAGGAAAGAUUCUGGUUCUGUCCUCUUCCCCAAGGCAAGGCUGGCUGCCCUACCAACAGAGGCAAAGAGAAGAGUGUGCAAGGCUGGCUGCCCUCCCAACAGAGGCAAAGAGGAGUGUGUGUUGAAAUAUCCAUUGAAUCCCUGAGACAACUGGAUCCUGGCCCAUUGAAUCAUAAACUCAGCAGAAUCUCACAUCAUAACCCCAAAUGACCUGUUACUCACCAUGUGGCCCAGCUGUCUUCAAACUCACCAGCCUCCUGCCUUAGCCUUCUAAAUGCUUGGAUUACAGGCAUGACCCACCAUAACUGGCUUUGUUUUAGUUUCAGAGAAGAUGAAACUGAUGUGCGUCAAAAAGUAAACUACCCACAUUUUAACUGGGCACAUUCCUGUCAAUCUGAUGAGAAUCUAUUUCAUACCCUGCUUUAGCUGGUAGUCUGUCAAGGAAAUGAGCUGAACAUGUCUGUGUACAGCUUUUGUGCCAUCCCUGGAUGAGCGAGCUGUCUGCCUCUAUGUUCUCCACAAAAUGGAAUAUAGCUGUACACCCAAGCCAAGUUAUGGAGGCUGGGAAGACCUAGAAUGUGGCAUCACUAUUUGGAAACCAUGCCGAUUACCGACCGAGCUCUCAAUGGAAAAAUGCAGUCGGCGUGAACCACGCACGAACACAGCAGAGAAAGAAGAAAACACACACCACGAGGAACCCUAAUAGGACAAUACAUUAUAAGUCACAGUGCUACGGAGAAACCCAGUAGCCACAUGGAAGCAGAGACCAUGCAUAUGCAUCUACUCCGCAGCUCUGUGAAUGUCAGCAGCUCCCACGGACUGGAGAUCCCGUGAGAUCCCGUGAGAUCUCACCCAUAGCCUCAUGGUACAUCCACUUGGUGUGCUGGGAGAGUCAGGAUGAGGACCUGAGAAGAACAGCAGCUUGAACCUGACUUCAUUUAACAGCCCACUGCCCUCUUGCCAAGAACCCAUCACAGACCUUCCCAGAAGAGAGGGAUGAGCCUCACCUAUGAAUAAGUCCUCAGAAACUCAAAUUUGAUUCUAAUGGAUUGUUUUCUCAGAAAGACUGAGCAUGUCCCCCCACAUCUCUGUCAUUUCCCACAGUAGUAACCUCUGCAGAUGCCACAUAGAAAACAAAACAAAACAAAAAAACAUGAGGUUGGUGGGCAGAUAGGCAGGGUAUAAACAAACAGCCUUGUAACCCAGAAGCUGUGUGAUAUACAGUAAACUUCACAACACUGAAAAGAUGUCCUAUCUGUUAAAAUGGGGUAAUAACAACUACCCGAAUGUUUAGGAAUAGAACUUCAAUAAAUGAUACAUUUUAUAGUA